rfam:Papio anubis isolate 1X1155 chromosome 5, whole genome shotgun sequence.
AGUAAAACCAAGCUUGGUGCCCCAUUUCCUUAUCUGUAGCCAUGUCUGUGGACCCUUGAGUUGGCCACCUGGGUGAGGGCCUGCU